UGCCAGCCGCCGCGGUAAUACGGAGGGUGCAAGCGUUGUUCGGAAUUAUUGGGCGUAAAGGGCUCGUAGGCGGUUCAACAAGUCGGUCGUGAAAGCCCGGGGCUCAACCCCGGGAUGCCGGUCGAAACUGUUGUGACUUGAGUUCGGUAGAGGUGAGUGGAAUUCUCGGUGUAGCGGUGGAAUGCGCAGAUAUCGAGAGGAACACCAUUAGCGAAGGCGGCUCACUGGGCCGAUACUGACGCUGAGGAGCGAAAGCGUGGGUAGCAAACAGGAUUAGAUA
rnacentral:rRNA from 1 species